CGCAUCUGUGCAUGCAGCAUAUCAAUAAGCGGAGGAAAAGAAACUAACAAGGAUUCCCUUAGUAACGGCGAGUGAAGCGGGAAGAGCUCAAAUUUGAAAUCUUCAAGGUUUUACCUUGACGAAUUGUAGUUUAAAGAAGUGUUUUCUGUUGAAGUUUUGGUAAAAGCUCUUUGGAAUAGGACAUCAUAGAGGGUGAGAAUCCCGUAUUUGACCAUUAUUUUCAGCUGUGUGAUACACUUUCAAAGAGUCGGAUUGUUUGGGAAUGCAGUCCAAAAUGGGUGGUAAAUUUCAUCUAAAGCUAAAUAUUGGCGAGAGACCGAUAGCGAACAAGUACCGUGAGGGAAAGAUGAAAAGAACUUUGAAAAGAGAGUUAAACAGUACGUGAAAUUGUCAAAAGGGAAGCGUUUAACACCAGUGUUGUUUUCUCGAAAAUCAAUUAAAAAGAGUUUGAUUUUGUUGUGUAUUGACCUUAACAGCUUGCAUUUCAAUUUUCUUGCUUUUUUUAAUGCACUUUUCGUUUAACAAGUCAACAUCAGUUUCUUUUGUUGUAAAAAGGUCAUUGGAAGGUGGCUUUCUUUUCGGAGAAAGUGUUUAUAGCCUUUGACUCCUGCAAUCGGAGAGACUGAGGUCUGCAGCGUAGAUCCUUCGGGGUUAGAUACAUUUGUGCUAAGUUAUAGCUUUUUAUAGACAACUUGUUGACUAUGAUUAGUCUUGUAGCUUACUCGCUUAUGCUAUUUUACCUACGCUUAGGAUGUUGACGCGCGUGUGUGCGUG
rnacentral:rRNA from 1 species